GGGGAUUUAGCUCAGUGGUAGAGCGCUUGCCUAGCAAGCGAAAGGCCCUGGGUUCGGUCCCCAGCUCUG
rfam:Rattus norvegicus chromosome 7, whole genome shotgun sequence.